rnacentral:rRNA from 1 species
UACGAAGGGGGCUAGCGUUGCUCGGAAUUACUGGGCGUAAAGCGCACGUAGGCGGCUCUUUAAGUCGGGGGUGAAAUCCUGGAGCCCAACUCCAGAACUGCCUUCGAUACUGGAGAGCUCGAGUCCGGGAGAGGUGAGUGGAACUGCGAGUGUAGAGGUGAAAUUCGUAGAUAUUCGCAAGAACACCAGUGGCGAAGGCGGCUCACUGGCCCGGUACUGACGCUGAGGUGCGAAAGCGUGGGGAGCAAACAGG